rnacentral:rRNA from 1 species
GACGAACGCUGGCGGCGUGCUUAACACAUGCAAGUCGAACGGAAAGGCCCUGCUUUUGUGGGGUGCUCGAGUGGCGAACGGGUGAGUAACACGUGAGUAACCUGCCCUUGACUUUGGGAUAACUUCAGGAAACUGGGGCUAAUACCGGAUAGAAGCUCCUGCUGCAUGGUGGGGGUUGGAAAGUUUCGGCGGUUGGGGAUGGACUCGCGGCUUAUCAGCUUGUUGGUGGGGUAGUGGCUUACCAAGGCUUUGACGGGUAGCCGGCCUGAGAGGGUGACCGGCCACAUUGGGACUGAGAUACGGCCCAGACUCCUACGGGAGGCAGCAGUGGGGAAUAUUGCACAAUGGGCGGAAGCCUGAUGCAGCAACGCCGCGUGCGGGAUGACGGCCUUCGGGUUGUAAACCGCUUUCGCCUGUGACGAAGCGUGAGUGACGGUAAUGGGUAAAGAAGCACCGGCUAACUACGUGCCAGCAGCCGCGGUGAUACGUAGGGUGCGAGCGUUGUCCGGAUUUAUUGGGCGUAAAGGGCUCGUAGGUGGUUGAUCGCGUCGGAAGUGUAAUCUUGGGGCUUAACCCUGAGCGUGCUUUCGAUACGGGUUGACUUGAGGAAGGUAGGGGAGAAUGGAAUUCCUGGUGGAGCGGUGGAAUGCGCAGAUAUCAGGAGGAACACCAGUGGCGAAGGCGGUUCUCUGGGCCUUUCCUGACGCUGAGGAGCGAAAGCGUGGGGAGCGAACAGGCUUAGAUACCCUGGUAGUCCACGCUGUAAACGGUGGGUACUAGGUGUGGGGUCCAUUCCACGGGUUCCGUGCCGUAGCUAACGCUUUAAGUACCCCGCCUGGGGAGUACGGCCGCAAGGCUAAAACUCAAAGGAAUUGACGGGGCCCCGCACAAGCGGCGGAGCAUGCGGAUUAAUUCGAUGCAACGCGUAGAACCUUACCUGGGUUUGACAUGGAUCGGGAGUGCUCAGAGAUGGGUGUGCCUCUUUUGGGGUCGGUUCACAGGUGGUGCAUGGCUGUCGUCAGCUCGUGUCGUGAGAUGUUGGGUUAAGUCCCGCAACGAGCGCAACCCUUGUUCACUGUUGCCAGCACGUUAUGGUGGGGACUCAGUGGAGACCGCCGGGGUCAACUCGGAGGAAGGUGGGGAUGACGUCAAGUCAUCAUGCCCCUUAUGUCCAGGGCUUCACGCAUGCUACAAUGGCUGGUACAGAGAGUGGCGAGCCUGUGAGGGUGAGCGAAUCUCGGAAAGCCGGUCUCAGUUCGGAUUGGGGUCUGCAACUCGACCUCAUGAAGUCGGAGUCGCUAGUAAUCGCAGAUCAGCAACGCUGCGGUGAAUACGUUCCCGGGGCU